UACAGGAUUAUUAAAUUCAUGUUGAUUGGAGGACUCAAGUUGGAGUCCUGGAUCCACCACUCUUUCACUGGAGCAAGGCAUUUUCCCUCCAAGAAGGCAGAAGCACUGCCUAAGGCAUGAAGCUGGUGGAGAGGAGAGAAUGCCUCCUGAAGACCUAUGCCUGCAUGUUACUCUGAGGGGCGUUUAAUGUACAUUUCCUGAAUACUGAUAGACUUAGCACAGAGCAGUGGAAUUUUCCAGAGACUGCAAGAUGCGUGGCUUCGCAACAGAUUGAAGGCUGAAGCAGAUGUGAGAAUCCAGCCCUUGUCUACUGAACUAGACAUCCUUGUAGAGCUGCCACGUUCUGAGCAGAUUUCUUCUGCCAGACCCUUGCACUGUGCCUUCCUGCCUUGGAGCCAGCCAACUCUGAACUGAAAAACGUGAGCUCAAGUAAAGCUCUCCUUCAAGUUGUGGCUUCAUAACCAGGACUGGGGGUGCCACCACGGAAGGGAGACUGGAGGAGGCAUGCCACAGAAUGCGGGCAGCCUCUAGGGACUGGAAGAAAACAAGAGAAUAAAUUCUGUGCUAGAACCUCCAGAGGGAGGGGGUCGACCUCUUUUAGAUAUCCGACCUGUAGAAGAGCAAACUGAUAAAUUUGCUGUUUUAAGCCACUCAAUUCGUG